rnacentral:rRNA from 1 species
AACGAACGCUGGCGGCAUGCCUAACACAUGCAAGUCGAACGAUUGCCUUCGGGUGAUAGUGUCUCACGGGUGCGUAACGCGGGGGAAUCUGCCCUUAGGUUCGGAAUAACAGCUGGAAACGGCUGCUAAUACCGGAUGAUAUCGCGAGAUCAAAGAUUUAUCGCCUGAGGAUGAGCCCGCGUUUGAUUAGGUAGUUGGUUGGGUAAAGGCCUACCAAGCCGACGAUUCAUAGCUGGUCUGAGAGGAUGAUCAGACACACUGGGACUGAGACACGGCCCAGAAUCCUACGGGAGGCAGCAGUGGGGAAUAUAGGAAAACGGGCGCAAGCCUGAACCAGCAAUGCCUCGUGAGUGAUGAAGGCCCUAGAGUUGUAAAGCUCUUUUACCCGGGAAGAUAAUGACUGUACCGGGAGAAUAAGCCCCGGCUAACUCCGUG